rnacentral:rRNA from 1 species
GGCUGCAACUCGCCUACAUGAAGUCGGAAUUGCUAGUAAUCGCGGAUCAGCAUGCCGCGGUGAAUACGUUCCCGGGCCUUGUACACACCGCCCGUCACACCAUGAGAGUCGAUAACACCCGAAGCCUGUAGUCUAACCAUAAGGAGGACGCAGUCGAAGGUGGGAUUGAUAAUUAGGGUGAAGUCGUAACAAGGUACC